rnacentral:rRNA from 1 species
AUCUUACCGGGGGCGACAGCAGAAUGAAGGUCAAGCUGAAGACUUUACCAGACAAGCUGAGAGGAGGUGCAUGGCCGUCGCCAGCUCGUGCCGUGAGGUGUCCUGUUAAGUCAGGUAACGAGCGAGACCCCUGCUUCUAGUUGCUACUCCUGUUCUCCGGAAUAGGAGGGCUAAUUAGAAGGACUGCCGCCGCUAAGGCGGAGGAAGGAGGGGGCUACGGCAGGUCAGUAUGCCCCGAAACCCUCGGGCCACACGCGGGCUGCAAUGGUAAGUACAAUGGGUACCAAUUCCGAAAGGAGGUGGCAAUCUCGCAAAACUU